CCAAAGUUUGAUUCUGACUUAUAAUUUAAAUUUAAGAUUAUUUUACAUGUAAAAUUUUGUGUUAGUUUUUCAUUAUCUAAAUGAUAUAGAUUAUAAAUCACAGUAUAUAAUAUUAUAUAUUAAUAAAAUUAGAUAUAGUAAUUUUUAUUAGAAUGGACUAAAAUCGUGCCAGCAGUCGCGGUUAUACGAUUUAUUCAAUUUAAAUAAAAAAUAUUUCAGUUAAAAAGUAAUUGAUUAUAAGCUUUAUGAAUUUUGGUGAAAUAUAUUUAUUAAUAAUUUCUAUUAUUAUAUCUGAGAAACCCUGUAUAAGACUAGGAUUAGAUACCCUAUUAUUAAGGGUGUAAAAUAAAUAAUUGGAUGAUUAAAAGUUAAGAUCUUCAAAUUCAAAGAAUUUGGCGGUAAUUUAUCUCUUCAGAGGAACCUGUUCUAUAAUUGAUAAUCCACGAUACAGUUAACUUUAAUUAUACUUGUAUAUCUCUGUCAAGAAUGUUCUAUAAGGAGGAAUUUUCAUUUAUUCUAUAAAUAGAAUGUCAGGUCAAGGUGCAGUUUAUAUUAAAGUAGAAAUGGGUUACAUUUUAAUAAAAUUGGAUUAAUAUUUAACUUGGAUAUUGUGAAAUAGGAUUUGAUAAUAAAUUUAUUAAGUUAAGUUAAUUGAAUUGAGCUCUAGAUUAUGUACACAUCGCCCGUCACUCUCACCCUAAGGUGAGAUAAGUCGUAACAAAGUAGUUGUACCGGAAGGUGUAGCUAGAAUGG
rnacentral:ncRNA from 1 species